AUUGAACGCUGGCGGCAUGCUUUACACAUGCAAGUCGAACGGUAACAGGGUGCUUGCACCGCUGACGAGUGGCGAACGGGUGAGUAAUGCGUCGGAACGUGCCGAGUAGUGGGGGAUAACGCAGCGAAAGUUGUGCUAAUACCGCAUACGUACUGAGGUAGAAAGUGGGGGACCUUCGGGCCUCACGCUAUUCGAGCGGCCGACGUCUGAUUAGCUAGUAGGUGAGGUAAAGGCUCACCUAGGCGACGAUCAGUAGCGGGUCUGAGAGGAUGAUCCGCCACACUGGGACUGAGACACGGCCCAGACUCCUACGGGAGGCAGCAGUGGGGAAUUUUGGACAAUGGGCGAAAGCCUGAUCCAGCCAUGCCGCGUGUCUGAAGAAGGCCUUCGGGUUGUAAAGGACUUUUGUCGGGGAGGAAAUCCCCAGCGUUACUACCGCUGGGGGAUGACAGUACCUGAAGAAUAAGCACCGGCUAACUACGUGCCAGCCGCCGCCGUAAUAC
rnacentral:rRNA from 1 species